ensembl:lncRNA
AUGAAGGGACGGCUGGUGUUUCUGUUGCUGCCGUUGAUCUGGGCGGAGGGGGCCCCCUUGGAGGGUGAUUGUUUGCAGAACAUAAUUGGCCUUAAAGGAAAAGAUGCUCUCUUGGCGCCAGUAGUUAUUGGCACCCCGACGUAUAUUACCUGGAAAAAAGAAGAAAACAUAGUGCAUGAGUGGAAUGGGACCUCUGAUCAUUCAAAUGGCAACUUGAUUAUCAAAAAUGUGUCACACAGUGAUGAUGGACUUUACACAGCAGAAAUACAAAUGGGAACUAAAUUAGAAUACUGUCAUUUCUGUCUGAAAAUAUUAGAAUAUCUAGAACCACCUGUUUUAUACUGUUCGGACCACAGUGAUGACAUCCAGGUAAACUGUGCAUCACCUCCACAGAACUACUCCCACAAUCUACCUGUGUCAUACCAUUGGGAACACACAGGAGAGGUUAUUGAUCAUGGACUGCAGUCUAUUAAACUAUCGAAGAAUGAAGGCCUUCCUGAGAAAAUUACAUGCAUUAUUCACAUAUACAAUGUACAUGCCAGUAGCUCCAUUGCGUUAACUGAAUGUCUUUCAAUAGAAUCUGAUCAAGGGCGAAGUCGACCAGCACUGAUUGGGGUGUUUGGGGUUCUGGUGAUCGUAUUGCUUGUAUUUGGUCUGUGGAAGAAAGAUCGUUUAACACAUUGGCUGAAUACCAGGAAGCAGAAAAGACAAGAAGAUCCAGGCAAUGCUGAUGUUCCACUGAAUGAAAUGCUAACCGAUAAUGGUCCCAGAUGUGUAUCAGAGGAUUUAAAAGAUAACAGGAGCGAAGACACUGGUGACGAUGUUCCACUGAAUGAAACACCUGAUGACUCCAAAUGUGUACUAGAGAAUUCGAAAGAUGACAGGAGGGAAGGCAAUGCUGAAGAUGUUCCACUGAAUGAAACACCUGAUGACUCCAAAUGUGUACUAGAGAAUUCAAAAGAUGACAGGAGGGAAGGAAAUUCUACAACUGCAAAAGCUUAA